rnacentral:rRNA from 1 species
GACGAACGCUGGCGGCGUGCCUAAUACAUGCAAGUUGAGCGCUGAAGGUUGGUACUUGUACCGACUGGAUGAGCAGCGAACGGGUGAGUAACGCGUGGGGAAUCUGCCUUUGAGCGGGGGACAACAUUUGGAAACGAAUGCUAAUACCGCAUAAAAACUUUAAACACAAGUUUUAAGUUUGAAAGAUGCAAUUGCAUCACUCAAAGAUGAUCCCGCGUUGUAUUAGCUAGUUGGGGAGGUAAAGGCUCACCAAGGCGAUGAUACAUAGCCGACCUGAGAGGGUGAUCGGCCACAUUGGGAAUGAGACACGGCCCAAACUCCUACGGGAGGCAGCAGUAGGGAAUCUUCGGCAAUGGACGAAAGUCUGACCGAGCAACGCCGCGUGAGUGAAGAAGGUUUUCGGAUCGUAAAACUCUGUUGGUAGAGAAGAACGUUGGUGAGAGUGGAAAGCUCAUCAAGUGACGGUAACUACCCAGAAAGGGACGGCUAACUACGUG